rnacentral:rRNA from 1 species
UACGUAGGUGGCGAGCGUUGUCCGGAUUUACUGGGCGUAAAGGGCGUGCAGGCGGUUUGUUAAGUGCAGGGUGAAAGCUCCCGGCUCAACUGGGAGAGGUCCUUGCAUACUGGCGAACUCGAGGGAGGCAGAGGAAAGUGGAAUUCCCGGUGUAGUGGUGAUAUGCGUAGAUAUCGGGAGGAACACCUGUGGCGAAGGCGGCUUUCUGGGCCUUACCUGACGCUGAGACGAGAACGUGGGGAGCGAACCGG